rnacentral:rRNA from 1 species
CUUGUACAGGAUAGGUAGGAGCCUUUGAAACGUGAGCGCUAGCUUACGUGGAGGCGCUGGUGGGAUACUACCCUAGCUGUGUUGGCUUUCUAACCCGCACCACUUAUCGUGGUGGGAGACAGUGUCAGGCGGGCAGUUUGACUGGGGCGGUCGCCUCCUAAAAGGUAACGGAGGCGCUCAAAGGUUCCCUCAGAAUGGUUGGAAAUCAUUCAUAGAGUGUAAAGGCAUAAGGGAGCUUGACUGCGAGACCUACAAGUCGAGCAGGGUCGAAAGACGGACUUAGUGAUCCGGUGGUUCCGCAUGGAAGGGCCAUCGCUCAACGGAUAAAAGCUACCCCGGGGAUAACAGGCUUAUCUCCCCCAAGAGUUCACAUCGACGGGGAGGUUUGGCACCU